CGUUCUUGGCCAGCACCCAGCAGCUGAUUCCCCAGGGGAGAGGCCCCGUUCCCGCCAGCCACAUUCCCACGCCGGCCUGGGAGGCUGCCAGAGAGUGGCUGGGUGUCGGGGGCUGCCUCCCAGGGGACCUGCCUCUCACCCUGCCCAGCUCUGAGGACAGCACGAGAUUCCUGCAGAUGGAGCUCCUAACCUUAAGCCAGAGAAAAGAAAAUGCCAUUCGGAAAAUCCUAAGGAAGAGAGGAUGCAUUUCCUCGUCUCCACGUGGAAGCGGAUCACCCUAAAGGUCUUCAUCCUGGUCUUUUUCAUGCUGAGGAGGCUGGGGAGGAGAAGGAAGAGGAGGGGCUGGUCUUGCUGACCCAGGAGCAGCAGAGAAAGGAGAAAAUCCACGUGCAGGGGCUGGCCAGCGCUGGGCUUCUCGGGAAUGGAAUCACACACGGACUGUGGCGUACACAUCACAACUUUAAACCCCGUCCGUACUGAAGCCUGCGUCCGAAUUUCUUCUGUUUUUGUGGCGGAAGGAUAAAUAUUCCAUUGUACAGACGGUCUACCCGGUUCAUCCGUCACCCACCCAUGGGCACCCGGGCCGUUUCCACCCUUAGUGAAGGAAGCCGCACGGGUGUUUGUGCGGACAGGAGCUUCCGUUUAUCUUGGGCGCACACCUAGGGGUGGAGUUGCUGGGUCUCGUGGUGACUGGUUGUUUCGGGAGCUGCCGGCAGGUGACCCAGCAGCUGGGCCGGUCCACAUUCCGUCCAGCAGCGUGCGAGUCUCUGAUCUUGGCGCCCACACCCCUGGCUGGCUCUCUCCUCCCUCCGACUUCGCAGCCACACCGGAGGCAGGUGGCAAUGAACUCAAGGUGUGCGGUCCCUCCCUCGGCGCCCAAGCCCCACACUGGGCCUGCCCUGGGCAUGAGUUGGCCAUUGGACCUGAGGCUGGAGAACCUGCCUGGGACAGAACAAAAUUCAAGUGUGAAGUUCUGGAAGGUUCUGGAGGGUUCCAGAGGCCUCCUGGAGCUCCCUGGGUCCCCUGGACUCCACAUGAGUGGCCACCCAGCCUGUGGUCUACGGCUGCCUAGGUUCACCCCCUUGGUCCCCCAGACACACACAGGGCAGCCCUUGUGUUCCUGGGGCCGCUGGUCCUGCAGCGUGAGCUGCCACCUGUAGGGAUCCCUCCCUGCCUGCCCACACCUGCCCCCCACGGCCGCCCCCCCUGCCUGGCCGCACCUGCCCCCCACGGCCG
rnacentral:lncRNA from 1 species